GGACUCGUAGCUCAGCUGGUAGAGCACUGGACUUUUAAUCCAGGUGUCGCGGGUUCGAAUCCCGUCGAGUCCA
rnacentral:tRNA from 1 species